rnacentral:lncRNA from 1 species
AUCUCAUCCAAAAAAAAAUAGCUGGAAAGUAUUAUUUAGAUUAUUUAGUUCUAUAUAAGUACUCAUAAUUUUUUCAAUGAAUAAUCGAUGUGGAAUUAAAUAUAUGUUUAUAUACGCCUUCAUACUUAAUGCUUCUGGUUGUAUUUAUUCAAAGGCUGCGUAAUUGGCAGCUCCACACACACACCAAAAAAAAAAAAAGAGUUUGUUUUAUGAGUUUCGCUCGGAAGAAAAUAGAGAUCAUGAAGUACCAACAAAAGAAAGGCUAAAGUUACAUAUAGAUUGGUUUGCCUUUUUUUUUCUCACUAGCAUGCCCCCGGAUAGGUAGAUGAGGCUAUGUAUAAGGGAGGCUGGCGUGUUUCAUGUCGCGUGCAAGAUACAGAAAUCCUGUGCGAGUGUCUGUAAAGCACGACUUCAUCAUGUAAUUAUGAAAGGUAGAGGC